GGACCUGACUGCUAUCGGAUUGAUACUAAGCCAUGCGAGUCAUUGUAGCAAUACAAGGCAGACGGCUCAGUAACGCGUAGUCAACCUAACCUAUGGACGGGAAUAACCUCGGGAAACUGAGAAUAAUGCCCGAUAGAACACUAUACCUGGAAUGGUUUGUGUUCCAAAUGAUUUAUCGCCGUAGGAUGGGACUGCGGCCUAUCAGUUUGUUGGUGAGGUAAUGGCCCACCAAGACUAUUACAGGUACGGGCUCUGAGAGGAGUAGCCCGGAGAUGGGUACUGAGGCACGGACCCAGGCCCUAUGGGGCGCAGCAGGCGAGAAAACUUUGCAAUGUGCGAAAGCACGACAAGGUUAAUCCGAGUGGUUUCUGCUAAAGGAACCUUUUGUCGGUCCUAGAAACACCGAUGAAUAAGGGGUGGGCAAGUUCUGGUGU
rnacentral:rRNA from 1 species